AGGGGAGGGAGAGGCAGCAGCUCCAUAUUAAUGGGUUCCUUAAAGAGCAGCCUGGCACAGGUGGGAAAGUGUCAGUACAUCUAAUUGUUGCUCAUAGGUAAACAGCUCCAGAUCUCUGAUGAACCUUUCUACCCUUUCCUGAAACUCUUCUAUUCCAAGACCAACUUUUUGAGAUGAUAGCACUGAUGUGCAAGCACGCCACAAGUUCUACAAGGCUAUUGUGUCUGGAGCUAAGAUCCAGGUCUCAUCCCAAGGACUACUCAAGAAUCACAGUGGUGGGAAUUAAGCUCAGGGUGUUCCUUAUCCCAUCACAGCUGGAUGAGUUCUAGCUAUUUACCAAAUGGAAAGGACAAGCAGCUUAAGGAAUUCAGAGCUCCAACACUCCAAUAAGAAAAUUGCAUCUCUGUGCAUGUGCUGAAGCAGCAGGGGUGAGCUGGCCAUAGCAGUUAACCUUCACUCUACAUUCUGGAUCACAGUUAGGUGGGAGCAGAAAAUAACCACUCUCUUCUGAUUUUGCAGAGCACAUUCAAGUAUUCUGGUUGCAGUAUUCCUUCAGCCACUCAUCUCUAGAGAAUAUACCAUAGAAAUAGAGAAAUAUUUUUAUCUUUUACAUUUUAUGAGGCAUGAUGUGUGAGCCACUGUUUGAGGCAGAAUAAUGCUCCAAUGUACAUAUGGCCUGAAAAGAUGUAGCCAUGAAUACCUCUGUGUAUAAGAAGGGUUAUAGCACCUGGAUACAGCAAAAUUCUCCUACUGUUAGUGUUCCCUGGGCACACAGCCAAAAUACAUCAGCCAUGUGCUGAGUGAAUAUUGAAACAUUCCCAGUACAUCCCACAGCAUCACCAGUAAUCUCAUAUCUGUGCUGUGUCGUGACAGUAAGUUUUUCAGUAUAGCUCACCCGACCUAUAAACAUUUCUACCAACUGAGAACACAGGUGUUGCAAUGAAAUAUUUGACAACCUUUGCAGCAAAUAAGUUGAUACUCUAAUUUCUUAUAAAAAUCUAUGGAGUGUCAGAAGAAGUUUUGGGAUCAUUUAAAUUUUAAUGUGUUUUGAAAAAAUGGAGUCAUUUCAAGGCACUAGAGGGCUUUCGGGCUUAUUACAUUAGACUGCAAAGACUAAUCAUCAGCACGUAAAACUAUUGUUAAUUCAGAAGUUCAUAAAAAAAGAAGAAAAUUUAAGGUUAAAAAUAUCACUACUGCACUGGAUGACAUUGUUCCACUGAAAGUAGGUCUCGUUAAAGAAACCUGUUAUAUUUUUGAUGGGAUUUGUCUGGUUGAUAAAGAAAUUCACUAUGGUAUAACCUACUUUGAUUUCACUAGAUCUAAACUAGAUGACUCCCAGAUUGGAGCUGCUGCCAUAGAAAGGAACAGAAAGACUCAUCCUACAUCAAUUAAAAACUGUUUCAGUACGUCAAAAAGCAAGGCAAGAGUUGGGUAUGUUUUGAUAACAGUGGAGCUUUACCUCCAGACUGCCUGGAAAAUCAAAUAUGGUUGGAUUGGAGGAAGAUUGCUAGCACUGACUUUCAGCCACAUAUCCAUGGCAUUGCUCUGUGCCACUUCACAAAGUUACAGCUGGAAAAGUGUAAGAGUGGCAGAGUUGGCAGCCUCCAGAGCAUGAUGGUUUUCCUUAGCCACAGUGUGACAUUUCUUCUGCAUACCAAUUGAGGAAGCAGGCACACUGUCUUCCAGCUAUUCCUUUGACGUUCUGUUCCAUAAGUGAAGUUGAAGGGAAGAAAUUCAGUCCCCUCCUUCUGUCUGACUCAUCAUGGUGGAGAAGUUCUGACACCAGAGUCCAGCCCCCCGGAAACGAAGCGCUGUCGCAGAUGCAGUCUGCCUUUAAAAGUGAGUCAGGUGGACAUCUUGGGGUCUGCUACAUAAAUAGAGAUUUUCACUGUGGCCUAUGUUGGAUGCAGAAUGGGAAUGGAGGUGGAAAAACAGCAGUUCACUCAGUGGUAAAGAGAAAGACAAACCUUCCGCAACCAUCCCAGACAACCCUCUAGGACUCAGUUAUCCACUGGAUUUCCCUUGGGUCAUGAAGAUCUACUCGUUGAACUGGUUGCUCUAGACAUCUUUCAUGACCAUGUGUAAAGGACCAACAGAAAACACUUUCUGACAUGACAUCAUGGAAAACAAUAUAGUGAUGCCUACAGAACUUAAG
ensembl:lncRNA